ACCAGGGCUCGAACCCGUGUUCCCUGCAUUAACAGGCAGAUUCUCAACCACUGCGCCACCAGGGAAGCCUGAAGUCCUGACUCUUAAUACCUCAUAAUAUUACCCUAUUUAGAAAUAGGGUUGUUGUGGUUGUAGUUAGUGAAGAGGAGACCACAGGGUGAGCCCUAAUCCAAUAUCGUGUCCUUAUAAAAAGGGGAAAUUUGGACAUAGUCUUGCACCCAGGGAAAACACCAUAUGAAGAUGAAGGCAGAGAUCAGGGCGUUGCUUUUAUAAGCCAAGGGAUACCAAAGGUUGCCUGCAAAGCACCAGACGCUAAAUGAGGGGCAUGGAACAGAUUCUCUCACAGCCCUCAGAGGGAACCAACCCUGCCAACACUACAAUGUUGGACUUCUGGCCUCCCCAACUGUGAGGCAAAUACAUUUCUGUCUUGUAAGCCACUCAGUUUGUGGUACUUUGUUAUGGCAGCCCUAGCAAACUAAUACAAUGGCCGUUUAGAUGGAAGGAAUUAAAAAGAUUUAUAACUUGGAGUGAAAGUAUGUGCAAAGAAACUUCAUGACACAAGAUGAAAAUGUAAUGUUGAAGAAAACCAGGAACCUAUGUAGACUUAAUCUAGGACUAUUUUUGAUUUGGAGCAAAGAUCUCAAAAUUUAGACCUUGAAAUGUCAAGGGUCUGUUAUACUCUUUCUGAAGCCAAAGUGUUCAGACCUCUCUAGCAGGCUUUGUUAGUUUUGAUUGAGUGUGUACCAUCUUUUAAACUUUACCUUGGUUUGAAGAAACUCAUUUCCCUGAAGGAAAGAAAACCCUGUCAGGUUUCCAUGGGGGAGAAAUUUUCACUAAGCCUAUUAUCAUGUGCCAUGUGGUCUCUUCCUAAUAUGACACAGCAGUCAGGUUCAAAUAAUGAAAAUAAAUACAUACAUCUUACACAAAUUGUAUGUAAUUUGUGCUCAUCCAAGAGCACAAACCACUUAAAAAAUUGCUUAUUGAAUUCAUCUGUAUAGAGAUUUUUUUUUAAAGCCCUAAAACUUCCCCCCCCCCCCCAAAUUCUUAACUCUAGUGUACCAUUCAGUUUUUUUUUCCCUUUAAAGUUAGGUAUUAGAGAACUGAGAAGUGGGUUUUUAAUCUUAAUGAUUAGGGACCAGUUUAAUUAAAAGAAAUUGUAAAUGUUGCUUACUGGUUUUCAGCUUUUACAAUCAACCAGUAGAUUAAACAGAAGACAAGAAUGUGAAGGAAAUCAACUUUGAUAAUGUAAAAGUGAAGGUAUGUAGACAGAAGUGAGGUAGAAAUGGGGAGGAGGGAAGAGGGCAUGCUCAUGGCAGGAAACCUGGAUGCUGCACGACACUGUUGGGUGAAUGUGAUUUUAAGUAAGUUGUAAAGGUAAUAGCUAUAUUUUUUCUUUCUUUUUUUAAAUUGAAGUAUCAUUGAUUUACAAUGUUGUGUUAGUUUCUGGUGUACAGCAACGUGAUUCAGUCAAAGUGAUUGCAUUUCUGGUGUACAAAGUGAUUUCAUUCUUCUGUCAAAAACUGGAAGGAGUAAGGGAGUAAGGUGCGGGGAGUGGUAUAAAUUAAAUCCUCAUUUUUAGGCUGGGGAGUCAAUAGACGAGGGCCAACGAAAUAGCAGUGUAGGUGUGUGUUAUGAAGGUAAUCACCAGAAUUAAAGACCAGUUAUUUAAAAGUGAUAAUCCCUCACAUGAGCAGAAGUAAAGUGGGAGCAAAGGUUUUUUGUUUUCUGUUGUGUUGUGUGCAUGGUUUCUUCGGUAAAAAGAAAUGAGAAAAAAUAGUUGUACUGAUCAACAUUUGCUCAAAGAAGCAGCACGAGAAUCGGAUAACCUAGUGAAUGCUAGUUAUUUGUGAGAUGUUAGGCAAGAAGUAAAAUCCUUCCGUGACAAGGAAAUAAUGUGAGAAUGCUUACGUGUAAUAGCAGAUAUUUCAUUGUCUUAAAAAAAACACCAUGUGUAUAUAAAAAUGUAGGCAUUUAAUAGUUUCCUACAUGUGGGCCCAGUUUAUUUUUAAUUUUAAUGUUAGACAAAUUACAUUCAGAUAUAGCCAGAAAAAUGAGAAUUCUUAGUUGAAAGUGGCUCUUUUUCUAACCUGCUUUCUAUACUCUUUUGAAACUUGUAAAUGUUGUUUAAGGUAAGGUGAGAUACCACAAAAAUAGGGUUAUGUGUAAGUUAUAGUGGGAUCUUUGCUUGAUUGUCUUAAUAAUGCCGAAUCGGAAGAGGGAUCUUACUGCACCUAAUUUUCAUAAAGCGAGGUUAGUUCAUAGGAAACAUGCUUAUAUUUUUUUCAGGAUCUGUUUUCUCACUGCAAUCUAACUGUAUUGUAGUGGAAAUUAAUUGUUCAGUAUCAGAAGUUAUAUACGUCAGAAGUGUAGCAAAAUAUAAAAUCUUUUUUAGGAUUUCUUCUAAACAAUUUAAACUAAGCCUUAAGGAAUUACAAUUGCUAGAUUUUAUCUAUCACUUUUUAAAUUUGUAGAAGACAGUAAUAAAGACCAACCUAAUAGUGUUUCCUUAAUUAUUGACUACUUAAAUUUUUAUUUUAGCAUAAAUUGUUAUUUGAGCUACAUUACGUAUACUUAGCUAUAUUAUACCUAGAUACAUAACAUUGGAAAUAUCUGUAAUUAAAUUUCAUUCUCUUACUUAGCUAGGCAUUUAAAGUAACUUACAAUAAUUUAAAUAUAUAACAUUGAAAAGAAAUGUUAAAAGCAGCUGUUGGGAAUAGUGUCAAUGUGUGUUUUAAUCCUUUAAGGGACGUACCAGGUACAACUUAAUACAUAUCUUCUUAGACUCUGACUUGUUAAGCUUAGUUCUUAUGUGUUGCCUUGAAAUUUACAGAAAUAUUUGAAUUAAUCAUUUUAAGCUAUAAUUGUAUGAGAUGUCCUUGUUGCCUGUACUCCCCUUCCCUCUUAUAUGUAAUUUUAAAUAGAUUAAUUAAUAAACUUUUAUGUUUAGAGUAGUUUUAGGUUCACAGCGGAAAACACAGAGAGGCCCCACAUACCCCCUCUUGCCUCCACCACCAGACGUCCACCACCGGAGUUGUACAUUUGUUACAUACCCGGAUGAACCUACAUAAAUACAUCAUUAUCGUCCAGGGUCCAUGCUUUACAUUGGAGUUCCUUCGGGGUGUUGUACAUUCUUUGGGUUUGGACAAAUAUAUAAUGACAUGUAUCCCUCAUGAUAGUCUUGUACAGAGUAGUUUCACUGCCCUGAAAAUCCUCUGUGUUCCACCCGUUCAUCCCCUCCUCCUCACAACCCCUGAUCUUUUUACUGUCUUAAUAGUUUUGCUUUUUCCGGAAUGUCAUACAAUUGGAAUCAUGUAUGUAGUCUUUUCAGAUUGGCUUCCUUCACUUAGUAAUUUGCAUUUAAAUUCCUCCAUGUCUUUUCAUGGAUUGAUAGCUCAUUUCUUUUUAGUGCUGAAUGAUAUUCUGUUGCCUAGAUGUCCCACAGUUUAUUUAUCCAGUCACCUACUGAAGGGCAUCUUGGUUGCUUCCAAGUUUUGGCAGUGACGAAUAAAAUUGCUGUAACCAUCCACGUGCCUGUUUUUGUGUGAACAUACGUUUUCAAUGCCUGUAGGUAAAUACCAAGGUGUGUGAUUGCAGGAUCAUAUGGUAAAAGUAUGUUCAGUUUUGUAAGAAACUGCCAAGCUUUUCCAAAGUGGCUGUACCAUUUUGUAUCCUCACCAGCAAUGAAUAAGGGUCCUGUUUUUCCACGUCUUGCCAGCAUUUGGUGAUGGUGGAAUUUAUUUUUAAAGCUUUUAUUUGUGGUUUCUGCUAUAUGUUUUUGUAGGGGUUCAAAGCAAAAAAAUUAUUUAAGUGAUCAAAGGAGAGGUAGAAAAUCUUACAUUUCUUGAUGAUAAAAUAGAAAUGGAGCUAGGGGCUGCAUCCUGAGAAGCUGGCAACUAGAACAUUUCAUUCUGAAUAAGACUUGGGCUUUCCUUUAAAAUGUGUCCUAAAAGUUUUUGAAUUUCCUGACUCAUUGGAAGGUAUUUUCAAUAUAUUCAAAUUUCUAUGAGGCAAAGCAUAGGAAUCCUCUUCCCCAAAUACAUAUUUUUUGUUAGAAAUAAGAAAUGCUUGUUAAUAUGUGAGUUGGGAAGCACAACUGAAUUUACUAGGGCUUUGUCCUUUCCAGUUGUUCUAAAUAUUUUUGCCAUUUAUCAAGAUAAAGUGGAAUAAGUGAUAUCUUAAAGUUCCUACUGGAUUACCAUUUUCACUGCUGGAUUCCAGGCUCAUUGUUUACUGUUUUUGUACUAGUACCUGUAGUUAAAGCAUAGGUUAUAAAUUUAAAAAAUGAUUUACAAAUGAAUAAAAUUCUCCAAUCAUCCCUUCCUCUCUGAAUAAUAAUUUUUCUGUGCAUAUGUAUAUUAAGGUCGUGCCUGGUCCAUGUGUGAGCAUUUGUGGAAGCUAACACCAGGUCCUGGCCAUGGUUGGGGCAGACCUGUGUUAUCUCAUCUGUGAUCUAUACAAGCCAAUUGAAGUGGGUAUUUAUGUCCAAGAGCACAUAAUUAGUGAGGCAAGGAUGUGAGUCCACUCUGGAGACUGCACCUCUCUCACUGUCUCUGCCCUGAACUUUAUAACCCGCCCAGAAACUGCACACAGAGGGGCUUCGCAGGAGGAGAGGACCCGGGUCAUGGAUGCUGUUUGCUGAUUGGCUAAACCUACACUGAAUUUUCAAACACUGGAAAGCUGGUUUCAGUUUUGGUUUAUGUAGUCUCGGUGUUAAAUUUGCACACCAACUUUGGAGCAUGAUUUGGAGCAAUAUCAUAUCUCUGACCCCGUGCUCUAUCGCUUGUGUCCGCGACGGGAGAAUCAUCCUGAAUUUUUGACCGGUUUUGACAAUUUGUUCUCCUGCUCAGACCGUCUUAAAAGUAUUCGGGGCAUCCCUGGCGGUCCAGUGGUUAAGGCUCCGCGCUUCCACUGCAGGGGGCGCCGGUUAGAUCCCUUGUCGGGGAACUAAGAUCCCUCAUGGCGCGCGGGGAGGCCAAAGAAAAGGAGAGAAGGAAGUCCUCUCACUGAAAGAUAGUUGACUAACGUUUAAAAUACUUUAUUUGAGCCUAUUAUCCAUUUAUAUUCAAAUGCAAAUACAGCUUUUUCGUUGUUUUUUAUUUUUCCGCUUGAUUAUAAUAAGCAUUUUAAUGAAAUGGAUUAGGCUAAACAGGUGUUUAAACGCCUACUACGCGCUGACGCCCAACCAGCCUGAGUCUAGGAAGAGUGAAGUGCCGUGCUCCCAUUUUUGCUUGAAAUUACAAUCUAGGGGAGGUUUUCCCUCAAUCUUUAUGCAACAUAAAGGAACCCUUUUUCAUGUAACUGCCUGCUUCGACAUUUAUCCCUUUUCAUAAUUUGGAUUUUCAUGCUUUGGGUUUUCUUGAAGGUGUGUUUCUGUCCCUUCAGUUAGAUUUGUCAUCCUGGCACUUGCUGAUCAGAGCCACUGGGUGGCAGCAAAAGAACAUAGAAGAGUUCGUUUUGCUUUUGCAUUCGCAAAAAUGAAGAGAAAGCUAUUUGGAUUUCGUGGGUGAUGAGAAAAUAAAGUGAUUAAAACUUGAUAUGUAACUAAAGCAGAGGAAAGACCAUGUGAAGACAAAGUGGCCAUCUGCAACCCAGGAAGUGACCCUCACCUGGAACUGAAUCAGCUGACACCUUAAUCUUGGACUUUGAGCCUCCAGAACUGUGAGAAAACAGGCGAUCCAAAGCCAGGCGUGAAGUUUAGGAAACCAGGACCUCUGCCUUGGCUUCCUCCUUCUGUCACCUCCAGGAGCUUGCUGCAGGCACUAGGAAUAUGACUGAGAAGGCCCUCUGAUUCGGAGCUUAGUGGCACAUGAGAUGACAGAUCUAAAAUGACCGUGCUACCAACACCACAAGGCUUUGGUUUUUUGGCCACAAGGCAAGUGGGAUCUUAGCGCCCGGACCAGGGAUCGAACCUGCGCCCCCUUCAUUGGAAGGUGAAGUCUUAACCACUGGACCACCAGGGAAGUCCUCUAGACCAUGUUCUUUGACAUAAUUCUACUGUGGCCUUAGGUGUUAAUUCCAAGCUCGCUUCCUAGUAAUUCACCAGCAUGCUAUUCUCCAGCUCAGGAUCCACUUCCAAGGGAACCCAACUUGCAACCGUUGGUGCCACAAGUGGUCAAGAAAGCAGAUGCUGGAGUGAGAUUUUAGAGCUGGAUCACUUGCUGCCCAGUUGCCAAUAAAGAGUCCAUCACCAGCAGAAGGGGAUGGUCACCCUGGGAGUGUAGCCACCACGUGGAAACCCAGACCACGUGGAGAGGCUACGAAUAGGUGUUGUGGCUGACGACACCCUGCUACUAUCUCAGCUUCAUCCACCAUCAGCUGCCAGGGAUGUGAAUGAAGGAGGCUCCAGAUGAUUCCAGCCCCCAGCCUUUGGGUCUUCCAGCUGAGAGCCGAGCCAACAAGGAGCUGCUUGAAUAGAAAGAUAAACGUGGUCUGUUUUCAGCUCUGCUCUUCACCUUGGUCUGAGCCAUGAGGUCGCUGGGUUUAAACUCUGGCUUAGCAUCAACCUGCUUUGGAGCAGGUGAUGGGGGUUCUGGAUACGUCUAGAACAAGCCACCCUCACCUGCUUCCCGCUCUGCCGGUUAAUGAAUGGACUUGGCUGUUUGCAGUUUGAACUGGGUCCCGUCUCUCUUCUCCAUCUCUUGAGCCCUCUCCCCAGGAUGGGCUUCUCCUCCUCUGCGGCCCUCUCUGUUCAUGAGGACAUCGUGGAGCAGUCAAAGCUGGACCAACACAGAGUCAGGAGCUGGGUGGUGUCGGGUCCUCCCAGCACCGGAUGCCACGCCCCCUCCUCUCAUGGGUCCUCUGAGGAACAAUGCGCAGGUGCAGCGGACCCGUUGUAUACAGGGCUCUCGGUGUGGGGAGAGCCGCGGACGACGGGCUAGGCAUUUGAAGGCUUGCUUCAUUUUCUGUUUCCCCUUUUUAAGACCAUGAGCCUCUGGAAGCUUUGACAGCAUUAACGAUUGGCUGAGUGCAGUGGUCAGCCUCCCUUGGUGGGCUGAGCUGGUGAGGGGGGCCGGCAUCUGGCUUAAACUGAUGAAAGGCAGGAAAUUCAGAAUCACGUCCCGAUCCUUUGUGCUUCGGUUUAGGGUUCUUCAAGGCCAGCUGACAGAGAGCUGCCAGGCCCAGAAAUAAGCUUGUUUUUUGAGUUGAGGGCACAGUGCUCAGGGUGGAGGCUGGGGGAGAUCCCAGAUGCUGAAGCCUCUUUCCCACGCGGUGGCAGGGGCAGGGCUGUGGGUCUUGGGUGGAAGCAGUGAGGUUUUGCAUGAAUUCUUUUCUGAUUGGCUCUUAAGUCUUUUCUCCCGGGAACACCUAUGGUCUUUGCUUUCUUUCUGACAAGAUCGCUGACCAGGGAGCCACAGGCCUUGCCCCUAGCUGGCAGUGCAGCCAGAUAUAAACAAGCAGAGGGCAGGGCCUGGUGUCAAACAUUAUGUUUACUAAACAAAACCGACAAGUUCUCAUUGUUGAGUGAGGACGCCCUGCAACUCUCAAUCCCCCAGAGCUGAAGAGGAUCCAUUUUAUUGAGCUCUGUAAUGACAGCCCAGCUGGAGCAGCUGGGUAGUUUGUAUUAACUCUAAGAGACCCAGGAGGACCGUUUUUCUUUAGGAAAAUUAUGUUUUUCAUUUAGACCAACAAUAGCCUGACUGUCUCAGCCUACCUUCCCAUAAUCUUAAAAAGAGUGGUACAAUCAGAGCCCAGAUUGCUCCGCCAAUACUUACCAUGGCCAGAGUUAGCAAAUAAAAUAGGGGACACCUACAGGUAAAUUUGAAUUUCAGAUACUUUUCUAGUAUAAGUAUGUCCUAUGUAAUAUUUGGGACAGACUAUUACUAAAAAAGUAUUUGUGGCUUUAUUGGAAAUUUAGAUUUAAUGGAGCAGUCUGGAUUUUAUCUGGCAAUAGGUGAUGACUUUCUAAACAUCCCUGCUUACAUACCUGUGGUGACAGGGACUCACUACCUUUCAAAACAAUCAUUCUGUCAUCAGACAGGGGCAAUUGCUAGAAAGCUCUUCUGCAUAUUAAGAUGGCAUUCUUACACAUCUGAUGCUCGUGUGAACUUCUGGGGCCCCUUGGAAUAUGCCUAAUUCAUCUGCCAUGUGACAACACUCCAAAUGUUCAUUAACAGCCCUGUGUCUCCUUGAAUUUUCUCUUCUUCAACCUGAACAUCUCCCGCUCUUUAAAUUUUUCCUCAAGUGAUGUGGUUUCAGGGCUGCAAACCCUCCGCUGAAAUGUGCUCUGGCUUGUUUAGAGCCUUUGUAAUCAGGUGGGAUCUGGAGGCCUGAAUAAUGACUCCAAAGACAUGGCUUUGUGCCUGUUGUCACAAGUCCACAUUCACCAUGCCAGGGAAGUUCUGGCCUCCUGAGCUGGGCUUAGUCACAGAUCCUUUCCUGAAGCAGUGCUGCUAGCCGUCAGAGUGGAACUUAGGAGUCGUUGGAGAAGUGAACACUCCUUGCUAUAGGAUGAAUGUUUGUGUCCCCCUCAAAGUCCAUAUGUUGAAACUUAAUCUCCAGUGUGAUGGUAUUUGAAGGUGAUGCCUUUGGGAGGUGAUUAGGUCAUGAAGGUGGAGCCCUUAUGAAUAGGAUUACUGCCUGUAUAAGACACCCCCUUGCCCCUUCUAUCAUGUGAGGACACAGGGAGAAGACGGCCAUCUGUGAACCUGAAGCAAGCUCUUAUCAGACACCAUAUCUGCCGGUGCUUUGGUCUUGGACUUCCCAGCCUCCAGAACUGUGAGAAAUAAAUUUCUGUUGUUUAUAAGCCA